GAUGAACGCUGGCGGCGUGCCUAACACAUGCAAGUCGAGCGGACGGAUGAGAAUCACUCCUCGCUUUUGGUAGGGGCGGAGGGGUGAGUAACAGGUGUGUACCGUAUAUAUAGGAAUAGCGUAAUUUGGGGAAAACGGAGCUCAUACACGAUGAGAUGUUGAACGGGAGGGAUCAAAAGAACUAGAUGGUCUAGGUGUGACUAAUGCAUGAGUACGCGCUGCAUGAGCUAGGGAGUAAGGUAGCGGCAUACCAAGGCUACGAUGCAUAGCCGACCUGAGAGGGUGAUCUGCCACACUGGAACUGAGACACGGUCCAGACUCCUACGGGAGGCAGCAGUAGGGAAUCUUCCGCAAUGGGCGAAAGCCUGACGGAGCAACGCCGCGUGAGUGAUGAAGGUCUUCGGAUCGUAAAACUCUGUUAGUAGGGAGGAAGAUAUGUGUAAUUAACUGUGCACAUCUUGACGGUACCUAAUCAGAAAGCCACGGCUAACUACGUG
rnacentral:rRNA from 1 species